UACGUAGGGUGCGAGCGUUGUCCGGAAUUAUUGGGCGUAAAGAGCUCGUAGGCGGUUUGUCGCGUCGGCCGUGAAAACUUGGGGCUUAACUCCAAGCUUGCGGUCGAUACGGGCAGACUUGAGUUCGGCAGGGGAGACUGGAAUUCCUGGUGUAGCGGUGAAAUGCGCAGAUAUCAGGAGGAACACCGAUGGCGAAGGCAGGUCUCUGGGCCGAUACUGACGCUGAGGAGCGAAAGCGUGGGGAGCGAACAGG
rnacentral:rRNA from 1 species